UCUGAAUCUGCGAACGGCUCCGCAAACCAGUUGUAAACUAUAGCAAGCAAGCUCAGGGCUGGCCUUCACUGGCCGGCUCGGGGCGAUAUGGAUAACCCUGGUAAUUUUGAGGCUAAUACAAGAGUGUAAACCUUGGAGGACCGGCUUCGGCUGGGAAUCUGGGGGAUGUGCGAUUGCAGGCUUGGUAACACCGGGAAAGGGCGCACGUUCAGAUCACGCUAAAAAGGUCGGGCUCCUUCGGGGGCCUGCCCCAGUGACUCUUGCUGUGUGCUUCUGACCUAUCAACUAGACGGCAGCGUAAGGGACAUGAUAUUGU
rnacentral:rRNA from 1 species